AGGGAAUUGGCCGAGUGGCUUAAGGCAGUAAAUUUGAGCUUUACCUAGCUGUGAUGGCUACAUCCGUUCGAAUCGGAUAUUCUCUG
rnacentral:tRNA from 1 species